rnacentral:rRNA from 1 species
UACGUAGGUGGCAAGCGUUGUCCGGAAUUACUGGGCGUAAAGAGCUCGUAGGUGGUUUGUCGCGUUGUCCGUGAAAUACCCCGGCUCAACUGGGGGGGGUGUGCGAUACGGGCGGACUGGAGGCCGUAGGGGGAUGCGGAAUUCCGGGUGUAGUGGUGGAAUGCGUAGAGAUCCGGAGGAACACCAGCGGCGAAGGCGGCAUCCUGGACUGGUCCUGACACUCAGGAGC